UGGGGAAUAUUGGACAAUGGGGGGAACCCUGAUCCAGCCAUGCCGCGUGUGUGAAGAAGGCCUUAUGGUUGUAAAGCACUUUAAGCGAGGAGGAGGGUACUGGUAUUAAUACUACCAGGUACUGGACGUUACUCGCAGAAUAAGCACCGGCUAACUCUGUGCCAGCAGCCGCGGUAAUACAGAGGGUGCGAGCGUUAAUCGGAUUUACUGGGCGUAAAGCGUGCGUAGGCGGCUAAUUGAGUCGGAUGUGAAAUCCCCGAGCUUAACUUGGGAACUGCAUCCAAAACUGGCGAGCUAGAGUAGGGCAGAGGGUGGUGGAAUUUCCUGUGUAGCGGUGAAAUGCGUAGAUAUAGGAAGGAACACCAGUGGCGAAGGCGACCACCUGGGCUCAUACUGACACUGAGGUGCGAAAGCGUGGGGAGCAAACAGG
rnacentral:rRNA from 1 species